rnacentral:rRNA from 1 species
AGUCGACGGGAUCCAUCAAGCUUGCUUGGUGGUGAGAGUGGCGAACGGGUGAGUAAUGCGUGACCGACCUGCCCCAUGCUCCGGAAUAGCUCCUGGAAACGGGUGGUAAUGCCGGAUGUUCCACAUGAUCGCAUGUGAUUGUGGGAAAGAUUCUAUCGGCGUGGGAUGGGGUCGCGUCCUAUCAGCUUGUUGGUGAGGUAACGGCUCACCAAGGCUUCGACGGGUAGCCGGCCUGAGAGGGCGACCGGCCACAUUGGGACUGAGAUACGGCCCAGACUCCUACGGGAGGCAGCAGUGGGGAAUAUUGCACAAUGGGCGCAAGCCUGAUGCAGCGACGCCGCGUGAGGGAUGGAGGCCUUCGGGUUGUAAACCUCUUUUGUUUGGGAGCAAGCCUUCGGGUGAGUGUACCUUUCGAAUAAGCGCCGGCUAACUACGUGCCAGCAGCCGCGGUAAUACGUAGGGCGCAAGCGUUAUCCGGAUUUAUUGGGCGUAAAGGGCUCGUAGGCGGCUCGUCGCGUCCGGUGUGAAAGUCCAUCGCUUAACGGUGGAUCUGCGCCGGGUACGGGCGGGCUGGAGUGCGGUAGGGGAGACUGGAAUUCCCGGUGUAACGGUGGAAUGUGUAGAUAUCGGGAAGAACACCGAUGGCGAAGGCAGGUCUCUGGGCCGUCACUGACGCUGAGGAGCGAAAGCGUGGGGAGCGAACAGGAUUAGAUACCCUGGUAGUCCACGCCGUAAACGGUGGACGCUGGAUGUGGGGCACGU